UACGUCGGGUGCGAGCGUUAAUCGGAAUUACUGGGCGUAAAGCGUGCGCAGGCGGUUUGUUAAGUCUGAUGUGAAAGCCCCGGGCUCAACCUGGGAACUGCAUUGGAAACUGGCAAGCUCGAGUAUGGCAGAGGGGGGUGGAAUGCCGCGUGUAGCAGUGAAAUGCGUAGAGAUGCGGCGGAACACCGAUGGCGAAGGCAGCCCCCUGGGCUGAGAUUGACGCUCAGGCGCGAAAGCGUGGGGAGCAAACAGG
rnacentral:rRNA from 1 species